AAGUUUAACAGUCAAAAAUAAAUAAGUAUUUUGUUUUUGACCAGUAGGAUUUGAUUGAAAUCUACUGUUUUAUUAUCUUUUACUGAAAGGGUCAAAGCCACAGUGAUGCUUUAUUUGUUAAAAUUAUAAAAAAAGUUUUUUUUUGUUGGUUGGCUUUAAAUAGGAGAGAGGGAGUCUCGCAGGUUAUUAGCCGCCGCCUUGCAUUGCUUUUUAGACGAAGGUGAAGAAGAAGAAGAAGACAAAAGAAGAAAAUGAAGUACGUUUUGGUAACGGGAGGAGUGGUGAGUGGACUUGGGAAAGGAGUCACUGCAAGUAGCAUUGGACUUCUCCUUCAAGCCUGUGGUCUCCGUGUUACUUCCAUCAAGAUUGAUCCUUAUCUUAAUACUGAUGCUGGAACAAUGUCUCCGUUUGAGCAUGGAGAAGUGUUUGUUUUGGAUGAUGGUGGUGAGGUGGACUUGGACCUUGGAAACUAUGAGCGGUUUUUAGACAGUACUUUGACCCGUGACAACAAUUUAACAACCGGAAAAAUAUACCAGUCGGUUAUUGACAAGGAGAGAAAAGGGGACUACCUUGGAAGAACUGUACAGGUGGUUCCGCAUAUUACUGAUGCGAUCCAAGAGUGGAUUGAGCGUGUAGCUAAUGUUCCUGUGGAUGGAAAGGAAGGCCCUCCUGAUGUGUGUGUGAUCGAAUUAGGCGGGACUAUAGGUGAUAUUGAAUCUAUGCCCUUCAUUGAAGCUCUUGGUCAAUUCUCCUAUAAAGUUGGACCUGGUAAUUUCUGCUUGGUUCAUGUGAGUCUUGUGCCUGUUCUCAGUGUUGUUGGUGAACAGAAGACGAAGCCAACACAGCAUAGUGUGCGAGAACUCAGGAGCCUUGGGUUGAUACCAAAUAUCCUAGCAUGUCGCAGCACCAAGGCACUUGAAGACAAUGUCAAGACGAAACUCUCUCAGUUUUGCCAUGUGCCGGAAGAGAAUAUCGUGACGCUUUAUGACGUUCCAAACAUCUGGCAUGUUCCACUGCUUUUAAGGGAUCAAAAGGCUCAUGGAGCAAUCUUAAAAGAGUUGAACCUCCUUGGCAAAGCUGUAGAGGCUGACGUGACCGAAUGGACUGAAAGAACUAAAAUUUAUGAUUCGCUGCAAGAUCCUGUCAGAAUUGCCAUGGUUGGAAAAUACACUGGCCUUACUGAUUCUUACCUUUCCGUGUUGAAGGCUCUUUUGCAUGCUUCUGUGGCAUGCCACAAGAAGCUCGUUGUAGAGUGGGUUGCAGCCAGUGACCUUGAAGAGAUUACAGCACAUGAAGCCCCUGAUGUUCACAAAGCUGCAUGGGAUCUUUUGAAGGGCGCUGAUGGUAUUCUAGUACCAGGAGGUUUUGGUGAUAGAGGAGUGCAAGGAAAGAUACUAGCUACAAAGUACGCCCGUGAAAGCCAAGUCCCUUUCCUUGGCAUAUGCCUCGGAAUGCAGCUGGCUGUUGUCGAAUUUGCCCGCUCCAUUCUUGGCUAUAAGGAUGCAAACAGCACAGAGUUUGAGCCAGAAACUUCAAGCCCUUGCGUCAUAUUCAUGCCAGAAGGAUCAACAACUCAUAUGGGAGGUACAAUGCGCUUAGGUUCAAGGAGGACUCACUUUCAGGUUCCUGAUUGCAAGUCUGCUAAGUUGUACGGUAAUGCAAAGUUUGUUGAUGAGCGACACAGACACAGAUAUGAGGUAAAUCCAGAUAUGAUAUCAGAAAUUGAGAAUGCUGGACUCUCAUUCGUUGGGAAGGAUGGGACUGGUCGCCGUAUGGAGAUUGUGGAACUACAAAACCAUCCAUACUUUGUGGGUGCUCAGUUCCAUCCUGAGUUCAAGUCCAGACCUGGAAAACCUUCAGCCUUGUUUCUAGGUCUUAUAGCAGCAGCGUCUGGGUGUCUGGAAGCAGUUCUUCAAGCAACUGGCAAGAUGAACAAAGUUUUUAUAAAUGGAGUGGCCAAUGGAACAACAACGGGGAAAGUUUACCAUAAUGGCAAUGUGUAUAGCAAUGGAAACGGGUUACAUCACUGAGUCAAGAAAGUAGCUAAUUUGACUGCAUUUUGAACCUAGAUUGCACACCGUAAUGAAGAACCAAAAGGAUGAGAUCACAAACGCAAACGCCAAGUUAUGAGUAGUAAUCGCUGAAACUCCACUUGUUGAGUUGGCUUUUGCAGUAGCAGCAGCAACAACAGGCUUAGUAGUAGAGGACGGUGGGGAUGGUGGCUCGUCAUAAGUAUAAUCAUCAUCACCGGGAGGUUGUGGAGGAAGUGGUGAAGAAGAUGAACCAUGAUCUGAAGGACCUUCAGGAUUCAUGAUAGGUAUGUAACUGCUAAUAUGAAGCACGGAGAUGUUAUACGGAUGUGUCGCAACAGAGUCUAUAAGCUUAGCGUCAAGGAUAGAUCCGGGAACCGCGGAACCGAACAUGACGUCGCCGUUGCUCAUAACGGUUGCGUUUAUGAAACCUUGCUGGCCUUUGGCUUGACCGCUUGAUUGGAAGAGAGUGAAAACGGACACUGCGUCGUUGGAGAGGGCGAGAACGGUUAUGGUUUGACGGGAGUUGAUGGUGGAAGCGAGUCCGGUUUGGGAGAGAAGGUUGUUGAAAGUAGAGAACUCAUUGUUCAGGUUUAAGAUGCGUGUGAUGUUGAAUGCGUGGGCAUUGAGGAAUGUAGAAGCAAAGAAGAAGAAGAGUGUAAGUGAAGCAGAAGAAGAAGACAUUGUGUGGAUUUAAUUGAUGAGAUUGAUUCUUGUGAGAUUUUUAUAGAGUCGAGAUCUGCAUGUUUGAUUUGGCCUCUUGUUUAGACAUGAGGAAGAGAUUAUGUUUCUCCAUAGUUUCAGGACA